rnacentral:lncRNA from 1 species
GUACGGAAAGGGCAGCUGUAACUACUACCCAGAAACAGAGAGAGAGGCUGUACCUACUACCCCAGAACAGAGAGAGAGCUGUAACUACUACCCAGAACAGAGGAGCAGAGAGAGAGGAGAGCUGUAACUACUACCCAGAAGAACAGAGAGAGAGAGCUGUAACUACUACCCAGAACAGCGAGAGAGAAGGCUGUCACUCCUACACAGAACGAGAGAGAGAGAGAGCUGUAACUACUACCAGAACAGAGAGAGAGAGAGCUUGUAACUACUACCCAGAACAGGAGAGAGAGAGCUGUACCUACUACCCAGAACAGAGAGAGAGCUGUAACUACUACCCAGAACAAAGAGAGAGAGAUGAGGGAGCUGUACCUACUACCCAGAACAGAGAGAGAGAGAGCUGUAACUACUACCCAGAACAGAGAGAGAGAGAGCUGUAA